CAUUUGUCCUUUGCGCUGUGUUUUUCCCUCCUUCAACAAGGAAGGAAAGAAACAAAGAAGCAAAGAAACAUAUGAAAUCCAAAAUUUCCGAACAUUAAGCAGCAAAUUCACAUGGUGAUGGUAUGAAGAAAAGAAUGAUGAACGUGUUCAGUGCUUAUUAGGACUUAUUCUUCUGGUUUCUGCUAUUGUACACAAGCAUG